rnacentral:rRNA from 1 species
AUGAACGCUGGCGGCGUGCCUAAUCCAUGCAAGUCGAGCGAACGGACGAGAAGCUUGCUUCUCUGAUGUUAUCGGCGGACGGGUGAGUAACACGUGGAUAACCUACCUAUAAGACUGGGAUAACUUCGGGAAACCGGAGCUAAUACCGGAUAAUAUUUUGAACCGCAUGGUUCAAAAGUGAAAGACGGUCUUGCUGUCACUUAUAGAUGGAUCCGCGCUGCAUUAGCUAGUUGGUAAGGUAACGGCUUACCAAGGCAACGAUGCAUAGCCGACCUGAGAGGGUGAUCGGCCACACUGGAACUGAGACACGGUCCAGACUCCUACGGGAGGCAGCAGUAGGGAAUUUUCCGCAAUGGGCGAAAGCCUGACGGAGCAACGCCGCGUGAGUGAUGAAGGUCUUCGGAUCGUAAAACUCUGUUAUUAGGGAAGAACAUAUGUGUAAGUAACUGUGCACAUCUUGACGGUACCUAAUCAGAAAGCCACGGCUAACUACGUG